ensembl:snRNA U2 U2 spliceosomal RNA
AUCGCUUCUCGGCCUUUUGGCUAAGAUCAAGUGUAGUUUAGAUGUUAAGUGGGAGGUAGUUUUAGAGAAUGGACUCAAGCCAGUUGCUUUAGCUAAACUGUGGUCCUCUUUGCCCAUGGUGAAUAAGGAUUGCAAUGCUUAGUAGGAAAUCUCA